rnacentral:piRNA from 1 species
GCGGAGAAUCACUGAGAGCUGCUACC